AGCAGGGUAGAGCAGUCUGGUAGCUCGUGGGGCUCAUAACCCCAAGGUCGCAGGUUCAAAUCCUGCCUCUGCAA
rnacentral:tRNA from 3 species